CCCUUAGAUGUUCUGGGCCGCACGCGUGCUACACUGAGUGGAUCAGCGGGUCAGGUUGCGCGAAAGUGUUUCCUAAUCUUGAAAUCCGCUCGUGAUGGGGAUUGACGGUUGCAAUUUUCCGUCAUGAACGAGGAAUACCUUGUAAGCGCGGGUCAUCAUCCCGCGCUGAAUACGUCCCUGCCCUUUGUACACACCGCCCGUCGCUCCUACCGAUUGAGUGGUCCGGUGAGGCUUUGGGAUCUGAGCAAAGAGAGCGUUUCGCUCGUUUUGCUCGGAAAACUCAGUCGAACCUUAUCAUUUAGAGGAAGGAGAAGCCGUAACA
rnacentral:rRNA from 1 species